rnacentral:rRNA from 1 species
UACGUAGGGGGCAAGCGUUGUCCGGAUUUAUUGGGUCGUAAAGAGCGUGUAGGCGGCCAGGUAGGUGGGUUGUGAAAACCUGGAGGCUACCAACCUUCGAGACGUCGACCCUAAACCCCCUGGCGUAGGCAGUCGGUGAAGAGGAGGAGUGGAAUUCCUGGUGUAGCGGUGAAAUGCGCAGAUAUCAGGAAGAACACCCGUGGCGAAGGCGGCUCUCGUCGGGACGGUACUGACGCUGAGACGACGAAAGCGUGGGGAGCGAACAGG